UGGUUUUGUGGUCAUCACGCGGGUAUCCUGUGGUGUCACAAUCCAUCCAUCCAGUCAAUCGUGCAACUCCCAGGCCCCCUCGGUCUUACGUUUUUGCGUAUUUUUGUUUCUUUACCGGCAUCAAAGUUCGUAUGUUCACAGCAAAAUAGGCAGAUUGAAAAUAGUAUUUAAUGAGAAAAUAUGCGGAUUCAAAUGGGCUAAAAUCUUUGAGGAACCGUUUUGUCUUAAGUACGAGCCGAUAGUAAAAUCUACCCGAGUGUUCGUGAAUCCAGUCCGUUGCAGCAGCAAAAAGAGGACUACUUAGAGGCUCUACACUACCAUUCUAAUAACAUUCCCUCACGUCUAUAUCUAUGGAGAUCUAUAAGGAGAUCCUGAGAAGAAAGGGCCUUGGAUUUAUGUAUGUUUUCAGCUAUAAAAAUAAUUCACUUGUGUCGACGAGUUUCUUGCUAGCAGAAAGUCGACAAGUUCACAAUUUACAACAAAAAGCGAACACAACCACACAAGCGACAAACAGAAAGCGACGAAAAACACUGCCAAGGUAAAACCAACCAAGGACUACCGGAGGGCCAUGAUUUAUGCUGAAGGCUGGGAGGCAUGACAAUAGGCAAAUGUCUUAAAGAUAAUAAAGUAGGGGAUUUCUUACUUUGAUACAGCAGUAAAUGUGAAAUCUCUCUCAAUCUCUCAAUUGAUUCUCCUCCUUGCAUUUAAUUUUGGAGUAGCAUUAGCAUAUGUGGAUCCAUGGUUUCUAUAUAAAAACAGCAGGCCUCCAUCCUACAGGGUGGGUGCACCAAUGUCUAAUGCAUGACUGGAGGUAUGUUUGUGAAUUUUAAUUUCCUUGGUGAUGGAGUAUCACCAGUAAUAAGUGAUAUAUUAAUCUUCCAUAUGGCACCUGAAGUGUAUCUAACUGUAUCAUUCUAUCUUUGGAAUGCUGUUGCAUCCAUCAUUUGUUUCUUUGCAAGGGCAAAGCUGGUCAAAAUGUAGCUUUGAUACAAGUGUACAUUAAUGAAACUUCUAUCAAGGGAAGGGUUUUUUAUUAGAGCAAGGUAGAGCAAGGAACUCUCCAGAAGGAUAGACGGGGGUGCUCGACCUAUCUUUUAUGGUAUAAUAUUCUCACCAACUUCUAUCUCUUAGGGUGUGUUUUAGGAUUUUUCCGAUUCUGCUAUCUUCUAGGGGUUUUCACGCCCGGGGAGGAGUAUUUUUCCGAUUCUGCUAUCUUUUAGGGUGUCUCAUGCUAAGUGGUGGCCCAAUCGCUUGAAAUGUAUUAAACCACAAGUCAACUGAUCAGUUAAUACUUUCGACUUUAUUGUCGGUAACAUAACAAUAUAGGAUCCGUCAGCAAAUUAAAACCAGCAUUGUUUUUUUUAAUGCUAUCUCUCAGGGUUAAAAAUUCCUCUGACCACACCCAAUGUGCUAUUUCUUAGAGGUAAGAAUUGUUGUUGACAAUGCCCUUAGUGCUAUCCCUUAGGGUUAAAAUUAGUUAUGCUGUCGAGCACCCCCGUCUCUCAAACUUCUGUUUCCCAAAGUCCCCCCCCCCACCUCCCCGUGGGAGCAAGGUACUUAAUUAUAUAAAGACAACAUCAAACUUGUGCUUUUUCAAUAAUAAAUCUGUAAAGAAAACAGUUUUAUAUCAAA